CUCCGAAGCGCCCCAAUCUGCUUGUUCCUCAGGAAGUCCGUGCCUUUUCACGCGGCUACUAGUUGAUAUCAUCGUUUCUCUACCGCUGUAUCCAGAAUAGAAAUCGCUUUAUGCAGCGGUGGAGAUUGAUGAUGUCAACUAGUAGCCUGGUUUUCAGGUUCAUGGGCUAUUGGGUGUUUUUGAUUCCGCUAGUUCCAUCUCUUUUGACAAAGAAAUGACAGUCUCAUAGUACUAAAUUCUAUUUAACAAAUAUGAGACUGUCAUUUUUUGUCAAAUCAGACGGAAUUAUCUGCACUUUUUAGUUCUCAAAUGGCUACUGCUGCUGGAACUACAUCUCAUAACCACAUCACGAUGAUCCGCUUGUAAAUCGAAGUUUUCUGUGGUUAUAUAUAUAUUUUUCUUGUUUGCUAUUACUGAUAACCUUGAUCCAGUUUUAUGUUUUGAAGGUUCCGUUUUUUCAAUAUAUCUUAUUAUCUGAAUUUGAGUUUGGUUAUGUUUCCUGGAUCUGUUGAGGCAGAACUGCAAGCUCGGUCUUAAGCUAUGUAGCCAAUGGCUUGCGAAAUUAUUGGAUUUUGGGUAUAUGAUGGAUGGUGAUUACAUCUGUACCAUCUGUAAGUGGAAAAAAAUGAUCAUGAAGUGAUGAUGUUAAACCCAGAGAUGAAUCAGUAUGAUUCUGUUUUGGGGAAAACAAUAUUGAUAUAUUGGAUUUUGAAUCUGCAAAUUUUACAUAUUAUUCCAAUGAUCUUACAUUAUAAACUGCCCCUUAUUUAAAGGGAUUUCAAUCUGUAAUACAAAUCAAAAAAUUCGAAGAGAAAGAACUCAUUUGAGUUUCUGUAACAAUGGAAUGUUCUUUUUUUUCCAAGAUCUGUAUUUAUAUUUGUUGUUUUGAUUCUCUUCUUUUCAGUCAUGAAACUGAUCACCUCUCCAAAAAAUACUUGUCAAACAAAAACAGUAGAUUUAUGCUAUGGCCAAUGUUAUUGUAUCUUUCUCAUAUAUUUUUCAUUUUCCUCAAUCUUGUGAAAAUCA